GAGUCCAAUGUGUAGCGUGACAUGCGUAGAGAUGUGGAGGAACACCAGUGGCGAAGGCGACUGUCUGGUCUGUAGUCGACGCUGAGGAUCGAGCGCGUGAGGAUCGAGCGCGAUCAGAUUUCGAGGUAGUGCUAGCCCUAAACGUUGAGGAUUUAGUGUUAGGGGGUUUCCGCCCUUUAGUGGGGCAGGUAACGCAUUAAGCAAUUAGCCUGCGGAGUGCGGUCGCAAGCAUGAAACUCAAUGGAAUUAAUGGGGGCCCGCCCAAGCGGUGGAGCAUGUGGUUUAAUUAGAAGCAACGAGAAGAACCUUCCCAGGUCUUCACAUCCUUUGACAAUCUCAGAGAUAGGACGUCCCCUUCGGGGACAGAAACACAGGUGCAGCAUGGUCGUGGUCAUCUUCAGUCGUGAGAUGGUGGGUUAAGUCCCACUCCGAGCGCAACCCCUGAUCUUAGCUGCCAGCAUUCAGCUGGGCCAUUUAAGGGGGCUGCCGGUGGCCAACCGGAGGAAGGGGGGGAAGGAGUCAAAUUCUCCUGCCCCUUAUGGCGUAGGGUACCCCCGUUCUACAAAGGACAGAACAAAGGGCAGGGCAACCCGGGGGGUGAACCAAUUCCCCAAAUGUGUUUUCAAUUCGGAUCGCAGUUUGCAAAUUGGAUGACAGAAACUGGAAUUGGUUGUAAUUGGGGAUCAACCAGGCGCGGUGAAUAAGUUUCCGGGCUUUGUACCCCCCCCCCGUCCCCCCCAGAGAGUUUGUAACACCCGAAGUUGGGGAGGUAACCUCUAGGAGCCAG
rnacentral:rRNA from 1 species